GAUUUGUCAAACAACAAAAUUCAGCGUCUUUCCGAAGAUGUUUUUGGCAACCUUACUCAGUUGAAAAGGCUCUUUCUCUCCAAUAACAAGCUUCAGCGUUUGCCAAAGUUAAAAAAUCUCUCCGAGAUAGAAACAAUAUACAUGGAGAAAAACAGCCUCGUAACCCUGUCACCGGAUCAGUUCCAAGGCCUGUCCAAAUUGAAAGACCUGGCUGUUUAUGAGAACAAUAUUCAGUACCUGCCGCGUGGAGUUUUUAACGGCUUAACAAACAUGCAGUCUAUGAGCUUUUAUUUCAACAAAAUCCGCACAGUGAGCAACGAGCAAUUCAAAGAUAUCGCGCCAAGUAUUCGAUUCCU